UCGUUCCCACUCAUCUCCAACGGCAUAAUGGGAAACUGUGUAGGGGUCAAAGCACGAGUCAUCCGUAGGUUGGUUCAAGCCUUCGUUGACUAUGAAGAAAAGGAAGAAAAAGCAAAAAGAGACAUCUUAUUAAUCGAUUUGGACCAUAAGAAGAAAAUCGAAUGACUGUAUACAAUGACUUAAUCUAAAACAAGAAUUCCAGGAGGAUUAAGAGGCAUUCAUCUGUUCUAUCAAGGCAUUAACUGCUCUAAAAAACCAUGGUUAGAUGUGACACCUGUCACAGGCACCCGACAGGAAGCCCAUCUUUUAUUUUUCCCUUGCUUCUAAGAUAAUUGCCAUUUCUGUUGAAACUACUUCAUAGAACAUGGAACAGAUCUUGAGGCAAUUGAAGCUAGUGGAGAACUUUAGUGGGAUGCAAAGACUAAUGAUGCCUCUCCAUUGGUACCUGAGUGACCUUGGGCCAGCUAUUUAAUACCACUCUGCCUUGCUUCCCUCAUCUGCAAUACUAGCGUAAUAAUAAAAAUAUCUAUACCUCCUGGGGAAUCUUGUGAAGAUUAUAUAAGGCCAUGAAUUCAAAACAUUGACCCUUUUCCAAGACUUAGAAAAUGUUCACUAAAUAAAGAAUAAUUAUUAAAGGCUGUCUUUUGCUUAUAAUGCAAAAGUCUUAGCAUUUUAAUAUACCAUUAUAAUGUAAUUUUCACUUUUAUUAUUGUAAUUUUUGCAUAAUAGUGCAGAAAGCCUAGAUUUUGGACAUUGUUAUUAUAGUGGUGAGACAGCUUUAUCAGUGAGGUCAACUGUUCCAAAUAAGAAAAUGCCCUUGGAAUAUAGAUGAUUUAGGAAUAAGUAAGGGAGUCUCUUCAUGUUACCUAAGAUCUUAUCUCUUUAUGAUUUGGAAAAGCUUAUUUUAAAAAAAUCUAUGCAAACAAAGCAUGCUUCAAAUUAUUCCCUAAAAAUUAGAUAAACUAAUUUGACUUAAAAUCCCACUGUGUAUUUUUCUUUUUACAGUGCAAAACUCAAAAGCUCAAAAGCAGUAGAUAUUUGAGGUGCCUAAUUUUUAAAAGGUGUCACCCUUAAAGAAAAUAGCGUUUUGGAGAACUGAGGCAUUUGGAUUGAGUCCCGGACCGUGUGGGUACAGGUGAUAGUCUACAUCUUCCCUGGGGAUGUGACCAAUUUGGAUUUCCUCACCUACAUUCGGCGGGGGCUCGCUCUUCUGAUUAUUCUUCAGGGCAAUGA
rnacentral:lncRNA from 10 species